rnacentral:lncRNA from 1 species
AUGGCUAACUCUUUGAUUUUGUUUGUCAUGGUAGCAUCAAUUGCAGCAGUGCAAUUAACAGUAGAAGCAGGGUUCUGCACAUUAGCAAAUGAGUAUUGCAAUGUACGAAACUGUGAGAAUUAUUGUAAUUCUCUACCAACCGAUGGCUCAUUAUUUACUUUGUUAUUGUUCUUCUUUGACCGUCCAAUAGCUCUUCUCAUGACGGAAGGAUAG